CCUACGGGUGGCUGCAGUGAGGAAUAUUGGUCAAUGGGCGCGAGCCUGAACCAGCCAAGUAGCGUGAAGGAUGACUGCCCUACGGGUUGUAAACUUCUUUUAUAAAGGAAUAAAGUGAGGCACGUGUGCGGUUUUGUAUGUACCUUAUGAAUAAGGAUCGGCUAACUCCGUGCCAGCAGCCGCGGUAAUACGGAGGAUGCGAGCGUUAUCCGGAUUUCUUGGGUUUAAAGGGUGCGUAGGAUGUUUUUUCAGUCAGCUGUGAAAGUUUGUGGCUAAACCCUAAAAUUGCCGUUGAAACUGGCAGACUUUAGUGUGUUUGCGGUAGGCUGCAUGC
rnacentral:rRNA from 1 species